rnacentral:sRNA from 1 species
UCCGUGAGGCGGUGCACUUGAUGCACGC